rnacentral:rRNA from 1 species
AUUGAACGCUGGCGGCAGGCCUAACACAUGCAAGUCGAGCGGAGCGGCGGACGGGUGAGUAAUGCCUAGGAAUCUGCCUGGUAGAGGGGGAUAAAGUCCGGAAACGGGCGGUAAUACCGCAGACUAUCAGUCGAGUCUGGGUCGGAUUAGCUAGCUGGUGGGGUAAAGGCCUACCAAGGCGACGAUCCGUAACUGGUCUGAGAGGAUGAUCAGUCACACUGGAACUGAGACACGGUCCAGACUCCUACGGGAGGCAGCAGUGGGGAAUAUUGGACAAUGGGCGAAAGCCUGAUCCAGCCAUGCCGCGUGUGUGAAGAAGGUCUUCGGAUUGUAAAGCACUUUAAGUUGGGAGGCGUUACCAGCAGAAUAAGCACCGGCUAACUUCGUGCCAGCAGCCGCGGUAAUUC